rnacentral:rRNA from 1 species
UACGAAGGGGGCUAGCGUUGCUCGGAUUGACUGGGCGUAAAGGGCGCGUAGGCGGUUCGUACAGUCAGACGUGAAAUUCCUGGGCUCAACCUGGGGGCUGCGUUUGAUACGUGCGGACUUGAGUGCGGAAGAGGGUCGUGGAAUUCCCAGUGUAGAGGUGAAAUUCGUAGAUAUUGGGAAGAACACCGGUGGCGAAGGCGGCGACCUGGUCCGAUACUGACGCUGA